UACAGAGGGGGCAAGCGUUGUUCGGAAUUACUGGGCGUAAAGGGCGCGUAGGCGGCUGUGUAAGUCAAAGGUGAAAUCCCUCAGCUCAACUGAGGAACUGCCUUUGAAACUGCACAGCUUGAGGCCGGGAGGGGGUGGCGGAAUUCCCAGUGUAGCGGUGAAAUGCGUAGAUAUUGGGAGGAACACCAGUGGCGAAGGCGGCCACCUGGACCGGUUCUGACGCUGAUGCGCGAAAGCGUGGGUAGCAAACAGG
rnacentral:rRNA from 1 species